rnacentral:rRNA from 1 species
UAACGCGUGGAGAACCUGCCGUAUACUGGGGGAUAACACUUAGAAAUAGGUGCUAAUACCGCAUAAGCGCACAGCUUCGCAUGAAGCAGUGUGAAAAACUCCGGUGGUAUACGAUGGAUCCGCGUCUGAUUAGCUUGUUGGCGGGGUAAAGGCCCACCAAGGCGACGAUCAGUAGCCGGCCUGAGAGGGUGAACGGCCACAUUGGGACUGAGACACGGCCCAAACUCCUACGGGAGGCAGCAGUGGGGAAUAUUGCACAAUGGGGGAAACCCUGAUGCAGCGACGCCGCGUGAGUGAAGAAGUAUUUCGGUACGUAAAGCUCUAUCAGCAGGGAAGAAAAUGACGGUACCUGACUAAGAAGCCCCGGCUAACUACGUGCCAGCAGCCGCGGUAAUACGUAGGGGGCAAGCGUUAUCCGGAUUUACUGGGUGUAAAGGGAGCGUAGACGGCAGCGCAAGUCUGGAGUGAAAUCCCAUGGCUUAACCAUGGAACUGCUUUGGAAACUGUGCAGCUGGAGUGCAGGAGAGGUAAGCGGAAUUCCUAGUGUAGCGGUGAAAUGCGUAGAUAUUAGGAGGAACACCAGUGGCGAAGGCGGCUUACUGGACUGUAACUGACGUUGAGGCUCGAAAGCGUGGGGAGCAAACAGGAUUAGAUACCCUGGUAGUCCACGCUGUAAACGAUGAUUUACUAGGUGU